rnacentral:piRNA from 1 species
UGGAAUCUUGAGCACAGUCUAACAAGGCAUU